rnacentral:rRNA from 1 species
UACGUAGGUGGCAAGCGUUGUCCGGAUUUACUGGGCGUAAAGCGCGCGCAGGUGGCGCGUCAAGUCUGGUGUGAAAAUCGCCCCGGCUCAAACUGGGGCGGGGGUCGGCGGAUACGGCGUGGCUGGAGCAAGCUAGGGGGCAAUGGAAUUCCCGGUGUAGUGGUGGAAUGCGUAGAUAUCGGGGAGGAACACCAGUGGCGAAGGCGGUUGCCUGGAGCUUUGCUGACGCUGAGGCGCGAAAGCGUGGGGAGCGAGCCGG